rnacentral:rRNA from 1 species
CCCUUAGAUGUCCGGGGCUGCACGCGCGCUACACUGAAGGAAUCAGCGUGCUAAAACCAUUGUCGAAAGGCAUUGGUAAACCCAUUAAAAUCCUACGUGAUUGGGAUCGGGAAUUGCAAUUAUUUCCCUUGAACGAGGAAUUCCCAGUAAGUGUGGGUCAUAAGCUCGCGUUGAUUACGUCCCUGCCCUUUGUACACACCGCCCGUCGCUGCCCGGGACUGAGCCGUUUCGAGAAAGCCGGGGACUGACGGCUUGUGGGUGCGCAAGCACUUCUAGCCGACGGAAACCAGUUUGAUCGGUACGGCUUGAACCGGGCAAAAGUCGUAACA